CCUGACUCCAGGGCUGGUACUCUAUCCACUGUGCCACCUAGCUGCCCCUGAGGGAGAUUUUUAAAGAAGGGCUAUCUCUUCAUCAGAAAUUGGAGUAAAGGAAGAGAGGAUGGGGGAUGUUGUUAAAGGUUUUUGAGAUGUAGACCAGGAAGAGAAGCACCUUAUAAUGAAUAGAAUGAAGUGGAUUACUCAGAUCCUUCAAGGAUCUGGUCUCUCCAGUUGUCUAGGAAGGUAUUUUCUUCUAGAUAUUAAAACGUUCAUUUUUAGAUAAUAGAGAGUCACUAAACGAUUUCAUUUUAGCAAUUUAUCUUUAUCCUAGAAGAAUAGAUUUGGUGCCAUAAGAAUGUUACAAACCUACUCACCAAAGAACCACUACUUUGGAUAUUGACAAAUGUGAUUCAUCUUGUCUUUCCUUGGGAGUGCAUAAAUUGAAUUUAUUAUGCAUACAGAUUUCUUUAUAAGAUCUUAAACUGGAUAUAUUUUAUCAUAGUAUGAUAGUAAUUAUUCAAAGAUGUUUACCGUAAUUUUGCAGUUUUAGAAUAAGCUCAGAACAGAUUUUCUCUAAGGUGAAUUAGUCAUUUAAAUACCUUCUGCCUUAAAACAAAGCUAGAAAUCCCAAGGGGGCCUUAGCAGUAUGUGUGUGUGUGUGUGUGUGUGUGUGUGCGCGUGUGUGUGCACGUGCACACAUAUGCACACGCACACACACAUCCAGUCCACUGUGCCCCUGGGGCAACUUCCCGCACUUAAAAACAACCCAAUAAAAUUAGUACCAGAGCCAUGAUUAUGAAGAUUUUUAAAAAGAAUUUGCAGGAUUUCCUUAGCUCCCUCCAGGAGUCUUCAUCCAGGUUUGUGAAUAUCCACUCACCUGCCUAAUAUGAAGAGAAGUCCCCUAGAACCCCUUAUAGGGCUUCUGCCAGACCAGACCAGUGGACUCCUUCCGGAGCAACUGUCCAAGUCCUCCAGAAAAUCCUGCCCUCCUCUGCACCUGUUCUGUGCCUCUGAUGGGUAAGCCCCCUGCUUAUCAUAUCCACUUUUGUUUGGACAGCUCCUCCAACUUCCCCAGUGAGUUGUAUUCAAUAAAAGUCUGUAAUCACUACUCAGAGCUGUAGUGGUGGAAGGUUUUUCUUGUGCUGGAACAAGCACUAAGCUGAAGACACCUUCAAAACGUUACACUAAACUUGGCCUAAUUUUGCUUGUGGAAUAACAAUAUUGUGACCACUUCAUUUUUUUCUGUAUGUUGUUCUUGUCCAUUCAUGUCCCAUCUGCCUUUGCCCUACCAUUCUUCCUUUCUUUCCAUCAUUCAGGAGAUUUGGGUUCUAAUCUUGGCUUGGCCAUUUUCUGAGUUUGGACAAGUCUGUAUGUGACCUGUCUGGGUCCUUGUUCCAUUGCCUGUAAAAUAAGGGGAUUGAGUCUCCUUCUAGGUCUGAAAUUCAGUUGUUCUUUUUCUUUAAAAUGCCCAAAUAAAUACAUAUUACUUUUAUUUUUAAAUCAAGCAAAACAAACUCUCCUUUUCCCAUCAUCAUGUCCAUUUUUCUUUUCAUGGGUUGUAGUAUGGUGGAGUGGAAAGCCAGGAUAUAUUGGCUCUAGGCCUGUUCUUGUCACUGAAUUUGCUGUACGACCUGCAGGAAAACCAUGCUACUUCUCUGGCUCUUAGUCUCCAUCUCUAAAAAGAGGGUCCCAGAUAUAGAUGAUCUUUGAGGCCAAUUCCAGUAGAGGAAAGUCUCUGUAAAAGAAAUUGCCUCUGAGCUGAAAUCUCAAGUAAUUUAAAGUUUACUUCUAUUUUCUCUUUUAGUUCCUGUUCUUUUUUCUUUUCUCCUUUUCAGUGUGAUUGACCUUUAAGGCUCUUGCCAGACCUAAAAUCCUAUUACCUCAAAUCCUGUGUUUCAACCAAAAGGAUAAUAGAACUGUAGCCCAGAAGUACUGCUGUAAAGGGGAACUUUUCAUUUUGUUCUACAGUCUUUAGUAGUUGGUUGGAAGCCUCAAUCAGGGAUGUUGCACAGAGAGCUUAGAUUGAUUUGUCUAUGCCCUACCAUGGUAGGCAAGUGACUGAGUUGGAACCAGAACUCAGUCCUUCUGUUUCCCAGUUCAGCCAGCACUCCCCUUUACCUGCCUAACUUUUAUUAGAUGCUGUUAGAUGAUAACCUGUUAAACUAAUGCGACAGACCCAUUAGAUUGUAAACUCCUUGAGGGCAGGGACUGCCUUUUGCCUCUUUUUGCAUCCCCAACACUUAGCGCAAUGCCCUGCACAUCGCAGGGUCUUAAUAAAUGUUUAUUUAGUGGUAAUGCUGUCUUUUAUAAGAGUAAUCAUCCUGGGUUAACCUCUGCACAUCAACCCAAAAUGUAGGAUUUAAAAACUGAAUAUCCAGGAGAAAAAAUAGUUUAAAAUAUGACUGAUUCCUUUUUUGAAUUCACAAUUAAAAUAUUAGCUGACUUUGCAAUCAAGAGAAGCCGCAAGGUAGAGGCCAUUGUAAUGCAGAACAUUAUUUUACCAUUUAGGUAGUAGGGCCCUUUAGGCAAUGGAAAGCAGAAGUUGCUGCUUAAUCUUGCCCCAGACCUCUUUCCUCCUAAAUCUAAACAAUAGUGAAAUGUACUCCUGCAUGGCUUAAGCACAGCCCCUACCUCCAAAGCAAA